CCUACGGGUGGCAGCAGUGGGGAAUAUUGGGCAAUGGGCGCAAGCCUGACCCAGCAACGCCGCGUGAAGGAAGAAGGCUUUCGGGUUGUAAACUUCUUUUCUCAGGGACGAAGCAAGUGACGGUACCUGAGGAAUGAGCCACGGCUAACUACGUGCCAGCAGCCGCGGUAAUACGUAGGUGGCAAGCGUUAUCCGGAUUUACUGGGUGUAAAGGGCGUGUAGGCGGGAAAGCAAGUCAGAUGUGAAAACCAUGGGCUCAACCUGUGGCCUGCAUUUGAAACUGUUUUUCUUGAGUACUGGAGAGGCAGGCGGAAUGCCUAGUGUAGCGGUGAAAUGCGUAGAGAUUAGGAGGAACACCAGUGGCGAAGGCGGUCUGCUGGACAGCAACUGACGCUGAGGCGCGAAAGCGUGGGGAGCAAACAGGAUUAGAUACCCUUGUAGUC
rnacentral:rRNA from 1 species